rnacentral:rRNA from 1 species
CGGUAACGGGUCCAGCUUGCUGGAUGCCGACGAGCGGCGGACGGGUGAGUAAUGCAUAGGAAUCUGCCCAGUCGUGGGGGAUAACCUGGGGAAACCCAGGCUAAUACCGCAUACGUCCUACGGGAGAAAGCGGGGGCUCUUCGGACCUCGCGCGAUUGGAUGAGCCUAUGUCGGAUUAGCUAGUUGGUGAGGUAACGGCUCACCAAGGCGACGAUCCGUAGCUGGUCUGAGAGGAUGAUCAGCCACACCGGGACUGAGACACGGCCCGGACUCCUACGGGAGGCAGCAGUGGGGAAUAUUGGACAAUGGGCGCAAGCCUGAUCCAGCCAUGCCGCGUGUGUGAAGAAGGCUUUCGGGUUGUAAAGCACUUUCAGUGGGGAAGAAAGCGUGCCGGCCAAUACCCGGUACGGACGACAUCACCCACAGAAGAAGCACCGGCUAACUCCGUGCCAGCAGCCGCGGUAAUACGGAGGGUGCGAGCGUUAAUCGGAAUUACUGGGCGUAAAGCGCGCGUAGGCGGCUAAGUAAGCCGGUUGUGAAAGCCCCGGGCUCAACCUGGGAAUGGCAUCCGGAACUGUUUAGCUAGAGUGCAGGAGAGGAAGGUAGAAUUCCCGGUGUAGCGGUGAAAUGCGUAGAGAUCGGGAGGAAUACCAGUGGCGAAGGCGGCCUUCUGGACUGACACUGACGCUGAGGUGCGAAAGCAUGGGUAGCAAACAGGAUUAGAUACCCUGGUAGUCCAUGCGGUAAACGAUGUCGACUAGCCGUUGGGUCCCUUGAGGACUUAUUGGCGCAGUUAACGCGAUAAGUCGACCGCCUGGGGAGUUACCGUCCGCAAGGUUUAAAAACUCAAAUGAAUUGACAGGGGGACCCGCACAAGGCGGUGGAGCAUGUGGUUUAAUUCGAUCCAACGCGAAGGAACCUUAACCUACCCUUGACAUCCUGCGAACCUCCGGAGACGGAGGGGUUCCUCCGGGAGCGCAGAGACAGGUGCUCAUGGCUUUUCGGUCAACCCCGG